GUGCCAGCCGCCGCGGUAAUACGGAGGGUGCAAGCGUUGAUCGGAAUUACUGGGCGUAAAGCGCACGCAGGCGGCUUUUUAAGUCGGAUGUGAAAGCCCCGGGCUCAACCUGGGAAUUGCAUUCGAUACUGGGGAGCUAGAGUAUGUGAGAGGGGGGUAGAAUUCCAAGUGUAGCGGUGAAAUGCGUAGAGAUUUGGAGGAAUACCAGUGGCGAAGGCGGCCCCCUGGCACAAUACUGACGCUCAGGUGCGAAAGCGUGGGGAGCAAACAGGAUUAGAAGCCCGAGUAGUCC
rnacentral:rRNA from 1 species